CCUUGGAUUUUCAUCAGGAAAGCUCCACUAAGUGUCCCAUAUCUUAAGUAUCAACCUUCUAAGAGAAUGGAAUAGGAGUUAGGAGUUUCUAUUUCAUGCUUUAAGUGUUUGUCAAAGCACAUUAAUGAGGCUCCAAAGUCCUGGUUCGUGGUUCUCAACAUGGGAGUCAUGCUGUGCCAGAUUGGGAAUCAAAGACUCUGAGUUUGAAUCUCGACUCUGCCACUUACAACCUAAAUGACCUUGGAUGAGGAAACUGAUGCUAUAAGAAAGUAAGUGGAUUCUUCAUACAUCAGAAGCAGGCUUCAAAUCCAAGUCUUCCUGACUAAAAGUUCAGCAUUUCAUCCACAAUGCCAAGAGUCACACUAUGUUAAAACACAGUCAAAUAAAAAGCAUUCAUUAAGCACCUGUUAGGCACCAGAGCACGGGACAAUGUACUAGCAAUACAAAGAAAGGCAAAAAUCCCCAGUGCAUAUUCUCAAGGAGCUCAUGGUUUAAUGAGGAAACAACUCCACACAUCCACACAUCCAGGACACAUAGAGAGUGGAGGAAAAGGAAGGCACUAGGAUUAGGGAAGACCUCCCACAGAAGGCAGGCUUUGAGCUGAGUCAUGAAGGAAGGUGUGGAAAUAAGGAGGCAGUGGGAAGAAAAAAGAGCAUUCUAGGCAUUGGAAAAGACCCAGAUUUGGGAGGUGAUGUCACAUGCAAAGAACAGCAAGAAACACAGCCCCAUCUCUAAGACAUUAUGGGGAAAGAUGGCAGAAGUGUCUAAGCAAUAUUGCUUAUGAAAGAAUGCAUCAGAGGAGAAAAUGAGCCUGCAGUGGCUUGUGGUGAGGUCUAGCUGAGUCAUGUCUUCCCAUGAGGAUUUGUAGAUAAAACCAGAAAGAAAAACAACAGGCUUUUCAGAAUGGUCUGUCUUCUUCCACACAGCUGGACUCAGGAUAGAGUACCUUGACAAUUGUCAGAGCACAUCAAAAUGGAGGGGGCUCAAAAAUUUGACCGUGCUCCCCACCAUGCUAAAUGCCUCGUUAGCAAAGAAUAACAAGUACCUGUGCUUCCCUGUAGUAACUCAUAACCCAUCCUGCACCACUGAAUGUAUCUUAUUAUUUUUCCUAUGCUAGUUUCAUAUCAUCAAUUUAAAAAUUAGUUUGAGGCGAUGUCUGCUAUUGUUUACCCUAGAGGACAAAAAUAACGUUUACACUUCUGUUCAUUUACCCUGUCAAAUAUGCUUUUUGGAUGAAUUAGAGCCAUCAACAAUGUGCUGCAGUCAUUAGAACCCUAAAUUUGGAGUUAGGAAGACUUGGGUUAAAAUUGUGACACUUACCAACUGUGUGACCUUAAACAA